rfam:Ovis aries breed Texel chromosome 7, whole genome shotgun sequence.
UCCCUGGUGGCUCAGAUGGUAGAGAACCUGCCUGCAAUACAGGAAACCCAGGUUCAAACCCUGGGUCGGGAA